CCCCCCCCCCCCCCCCCCCCCCCCCCCCCCCCCCCCCCCCCCCCCCCCCCCCCCCCCCCCCCCCCCCCCUUUUUUUUUUUUUUUUUUUUUUUUGGAGCUGAGAGGCUUUUUUGCAUUUUGCUCUUACUGGACUAGUUUAGUUUCUGAGUUCUGCAUAUGUGCAGUUGUAAAGAAGUCAAAUAUUACAGCUGGAAACUGUGAGAUCAGCCCUGUCACUGCUCCGGCCUCCCAUUUACCGUGAAAACAAACACAGUUCUCUUCUCAUGUCUGCCAGCAGGAAGGGGGUGGGGAGGCAGGCAGAAAGGCAGAGGAAAGUUUUUUCUUCAAAAAGGAAGAAGGUCAACUAUUUUGGGAAACCAAAAGCUCUCAGCAAUUAGGAGAAUUCUCUGCUCCGUGAUUAGAGAAGUCUACAAACAAGCUGCAAACAGUAGAGUCCUGAAGAUGAACCAGAGAAUUCAUCAUUUCAACUUGAGGAAACUAGAAUUGACAAGCAAACAAAAUCCCUGAAAUUUAAGGUAAAAUGAAGAACAAAUUAUUUUUAAAUGUAAGACAAUUAUUUUAAAAUUAACUGUGUCUGAUAG
rnacentral:lncRNA from 12 species